AGGACGAACGCUGGCGGCGUGCUUAACACAUGCAAGUCGAGCGGUAAGGCCUCUCGGGGUACUCGAGCGGCGAACGGGUGAGUAACACGUGAGUAAUCUGCCCAUCGCUUCAGGAUAGCCAUCGGAAACGGUGAUUAAUACUGGAUAUGACAUUCCUUCGCAUGUUGGGGUGUGGAAAGUUUUUUCGGCGGUGGAUGUGCUCGCGGCCUAUCAGCUUGUUGGUGGGGUAAUGGCCUACCAAGGCUUUGACGGGUAGCCGGCCUGAGAGGGUGACCGG
rnacentral:rRNA from 1 species